rnacentral:ncRNA from 2 species
GCAAUUAUUGCAGGAGAGAAGCGUUUAGACGCUCGCCGAAGGAGCAAAGCCUCAGGAAACUCUCAGGCAAAAGGACUGCAAUAAUUGA